UCUGCGCGGCGCCACGUCGGGUGAUGGCGUCCUCCGUGUUGUCUGCUCUAGGAAAGAGCGAGGGCCCGAGACUGGGAGGGGCAGCGGGCUGGAACUUCUAAGCCUAGCAUGGGCUGCUUCAUGCAGGAAGUCUUCCCUGACCUCACCCCUUCUCCAAAUGUCACGCGCUGUGUUCCCCUGGACCCCAAGCACAGAGCUCUCUUUCCUCGCUGCUGCUUUCCGCUCCCCCACCCACCUGUGCAGGUGUCAUGUCACAGCUUGGGGAAUACACCUGGCUCUGCUGGGAGACCUGGAGCAAGUCACUUCAGUCUUUCGUGGCCCUCAUUUUCCAAUCUGUAGAAUUAGAGAUAGCAGGAGGACAAGUACGGAAACAAAAUAUGACAAUCUGCUGCCAAAGCAAGCACCAUUACCACCACUCCCCCUUCCUUUAAAGAGGCCCAGAGGAAGUCACCUAGCUGCCAGAUAUGCAUUAAUAAGAAACUUCACUGGGGAACAGAACAUUUGCUAUGGAGGACCUACCAAUAGUCAUUGCUCCUACUACAAAACCUUGAGCUCCCACACGCAUGUGAAUCAGGUGGACAGACAUUUUGGUAUUCCCUCUGCUCUUCAGUCUGUAUAAUCCGUAUGCAACAAUGGCCGCAAAGCCUGCUAUUC